AUUGAACGCUGGCGGCAUGCCUUACACAUGCAAGUCGAACGGCAGCACGGGGGCAACCCUGGUGGCGAGUGGCGAACGGGUGAGUAAUACAUCGGAACGUGUCCUCUUGUGGGGGAUAACCAGUCGAAAGAUUGGCUAAUACCGCAUGAGAUCGCAAGAUGAAAGCGGGGGACCGCAAGGCCUCGCGCGAGAGGAGCGGCCGAUGUCGGAUUAGCUAGNGGUGGGGUAAAGCCUACCAAGGCGACGAUCCGUAGCUGGUCUGAGAGGACGACCAGCCACACUGGGACUGAGACACGGCCCAGACUCCUACGGGAGGCAGCAGUGGGGAAUUUUGGACAAUGGGCGCAAGCCUGAUCCAGCCAUGCCGCGUGUGUGAAGAAGGCCUCGG
rnacentral:rRNA from 1 species